GACGCCAAUGGAAGGAGGAAAACAGGGGGAGUUGGGGAUCACUGACUAAUAGCAACAUUGCUUUUUGAUCCUUCGAUGUUGGCUCUUCCUAUCAUACCGAAGCAGAAUUUGGUAAGUGUUGGAUUGUUCACCCACUAAUAGGGAAUGUGAGCUGGGUUUAGACCAUCGUGAGACAGGUUAGUUUUACUCUACUGAUGGAGUCGUCGUCGCAACAGUAAUUGGGUGUAGUAUGAGAGGAACUGUCCAUUCAGAUAAUUGGUAUCUGCACCUGUCCAAUUGGGCAUUGAUGUGAAGCUAUCAUUUGCUGGAUUAUGGCUGAAUGCCUCUAAGCCAGAAUCUGUGCUGGAAGUGACAAUGUUUGGUCCUGCACAUGUGAAUGGA
rnacentral:ncRNA from 1 species